rnacentral:rRNA from 1 species
UACAGAGGGUGCGAGCGUUAAUCGGAAUUACUGGGCGUAAAGCGCACGUAGGCGGCUUGGUAUGUCGGGUGUGAAAUCCCCGGGCUCAACCUGGGAACUGCAUCCGAAACUGCCUUGCUAGAGUAUGGGAGAGGGAAGUGGAAUUUCCGGUGUAGUGGUGAAAUGCGUAGAUAUCGGAAGGAACAUCAGUGGCGAAGGCGACUUCCUGGACCAAUACUGACGCUCAGGUGCGAAAGCGUGGGGAGCAAACAGGG